AAGUUUUUAAUAGUCGAACAGACUAACCAUUUUACCUUUUACAUCAUAAAUGAAAACUUAAUUCAACAUCGAGGUCACAAUCCUCCUUUUCCCAUAAGGACUGAGAAAGAAGAUUAUG
rnacentral:rRNA from 1 species